CCCCCCCAAUUUGUGUACCAAUUUUUGGAUUCAUUUUUCACAAUAGAAUCUGUUUUUCACAAGAGAAUCACAACCAUUCCCACCUUAAGCGUGAGUUGAGUGGCUGGGGGAGCAAACUACUUUGUGACUAACUGUUAAGAAACUUGGUUGGAUAUCAGAUAUUCUUGCUACAAUGUUCAUUAUUUUAAGCAUUAAGAGCAUAUGCUGAAGUAUACGCUUUCUUCUCCAAUAAUUCUGUCAGUUAUGUCCUCAUUUUUAAAACCACAGUUUUCGAGGCAAAAAUCACAGAUUUUGAAUUGUGGUGAAUAACAUCCUCUGAAAAGUCACUGCCACCCACUUGAUUAAGUAGUCUUUUUUUAAAAAUGCAGGUUUCUGGUACUUUGCUCCAAUCUUAAUCAAAGUACCAGAAACCUGCAUUUUAAACAAAGAUUACUUAAUUAAGUGGAUAUAUGGCAGUGUUCUAUAUAGAUUUGCUCCAAUCUUAUCAAUCUCCAUACAUAGGUUCCAUAUAUAGGCAACAUCCUUUAACAUGGUUGCCAAUUUUCUAACUAACAAGGCCUCUCAUGUCACAAUACUGGCAAACUGAUGACAUAUCACUAGUGCCAAAUACAGUGGUGUUCAAUGCAGGCUGAAGUGUGAAUCCUGCAGAAACUGAUUAUCUCUGGACAGAAUUUCAUAAAGUUAUGUAUAACCUGUAUACAGUAAGCACAAAUGUUCUUGGACCAUCUAUGCCUCAUCUUAUAUUUGUGUGUGUGUGUGUAUGUGUAUAUGAAUACAUAGACAUAUAUGUAUAUGCAUACAUACUGUGGCAGGGUACCUGCAGUGCCUGCCACUUCAAGGUUUCUAGUUGGCAGUGGAGCAGCUGGCAGGUGGAUGAUAGCCUCAUCAAGGCUAGCACAUGAUCCUAGGAGGACCCUGGGAUUGGCUGAGGGGGCAGAGCAGACUUCAUUUUAACCUAGGUCCUCAGAGAGAGAAGGAGCAGUCUGUGCUGAGCAGGCCAGGAGGCAACAUCAGUCUGUGCUGCUCCUGGAACAUCUUGGAGGUAAGUGUCCCAGGGGAGCCGGGUUGCAGGAAGACCCCAGGCCAAAAUGCAAGAAAGCCCCCACUUACCUCCUGCAGGGGCCGAAAGGCGUGGGGAAAUGCGCGCAGCAAAACCGCCCAUGCGGUUCGUCAGCCGCGCCCAUAUCCAGCUGGGGCCGGGUGAUGUCAGCGGGAGACGCCGCCUGGUGGAGAUAAAAGGCUGCCCUGAGGGCGCAGGAGGACAGCGGGGAAACAGAGGCUCUGCAGGGAAGCCCAGGACCCGAGGGAUGCAACCGCAGCGUCCAUCUGGCCGAGAAGGUGGGGGCGGAGCCAGCACCGACAAGGAAGCCGGCAGUAAAACCGGCACCAGCGCUGGAGCUGGCAGCAGAGCCGGUGAAGGCUCCAGCAGGCAAGCCGGCAGCAGAGCCGGUGAAGGCUCCAGCGGGGAAGCCGACAGCAGAGCCAGCGAAGGCACCGGCAGAGGUGCCAUUGGGAGAGCCGGCGAGGGUACCGGCAGAGAGAUUGUCAGGGAAGUUGAAUGGCUAGCCAACUGAUAGGGAAAGAAGCUGAAAAGCUACCGUAGGGAGGAGCCCUGAGUGGGACCAGCUGCUAGGUUCAGGGGAACUCUGGGCCUGCUGGUUCCCACUUUACUCCAGCAAUCAUGGUGGUGGGGAGUGCACAGCUAUCAUGGUGUGGGUAAGAUAGGGAGCUGGGCCUAGGGAUAGACGAGGCUAGGGCCUCAGGCCUUGGUGCCGAUACAUUUGAGCUGAGUCCCUGGGCCACUGGAUGCUCGUGGCCGGAUAGCCAGGAGAUACCAGGGUAGAGCCUGAGAAGAACCAGGGGCGCUUGAGGGCCAAAAGAUCCACGAUCGAAGGUGGCAAAUGGCUGGGGUGUAGGGUAGGUCGGAGCCCCGUGAGUGCCCGCCACGCGGUGUGACAGCCCUGAAGGCUACCUCAAGGGAGCACCCCUCCACUGAGGUUACAUUCAAAGUCAUGGCAGGCGAGAUAAGGGGAACCCCGAACAUCAGCCGGGGUAGCAUUUGGGGUCCCACCCCAGGCCUUGGACAAAAAAGAUCACUAGUUCGGGCCAGGGCUGCAAGAGAGUGCCUAAUAGAACAGAGGCAGGCACAAUAAGGGCAGAAGCAAUGGGGAUGGUUUGGAGGCUCCUGGUCCUGGGCAUGACCUAAAACUGCACCCUGCCAGGGAUGGGUGGUCUGGUGGGACUGUUCAUGGCAGAACAGUCCCCCAGAAAUGCCAGGCCAGUUACCACCCCAGUGAAAGGUGAGGAAGGGUGCCAUAAAAACCCCAGCCCUUGCCUAUGGGUAGGUUACUGACAAGGAAAGAGACCUGGGCCAGGCAAGCCCAGAAGGGGACACAGGAGCCCAGUAUAGUGGGGCCAGCCAGGUAUGGCAGCAGCCACCUGAGCCUACAGGGUGAGAGACCCCAGUGUUAGGGGCCGGGCAUGGCAGCAGCCACCUGAGCUUACAGGGUGGAAGAUCCCAGUGCAGGAGGCCAGGCACAGCAGCAGCCACCUGAGCUGCACUGGGUGAAAGAACCCAGUGACCCAGUGAGGGACCAGGAGAGUAAAGUGGCCCAGUGAGGGGCCAAGCAAGAGUAGAGGCCCAGUGAGGGGUUGAGUGGGUAGAGUCGCCCAGUUGAGGGUGAUAAAGAAGAGAGGCCCUAGUUAGGGGCAGAGCCACUGACUUGGGGAAAUAGAUAUAUUGGAUGGGAUAAUAUUGAAAUACCAGAUGUGACAGAAAUAUUGAAAUUGACGAUAUGGAAAUACAGGAUGUGACAGCAAAAGCUGUGAGACAUGGGACACAUGUAAGGGGGGGUUAGAGCAUGUACUUAGGCCCUUGUUAUAAAGAGGUCAAACAAUGGGCAGCCUCCCGCCUUAGAAAUAACAUUCAUAUUAUUUUCAGCAAGGCAUGGCAGGCCAGUGAGGCAGGGAUUUAGACCAGAACAGGCGGCCGGCCGGCACUGAGACCCAGCCCUGAAAGGCGAGCCUGUUGUACAUACGUCCUUGCUUGGUCCAUUCUUGUCUGGAGAUGUCUGGAGUCCACAGCACCAUUUCAGAACCAGAGGGCAGAAUCUUGGGGAGUAACAUCUAAAAACAUGACAACCCAGUGUUUAAAGCUUGGAAGAUGGCAUUUGCCAGGAUCUCUGGAUCUGAUGAUCCAAGCAAAUUUACAAAAAAAAAGAAGUCAGAGUCACCUGCAGCUGUGACAGCAUACAGUGCAGCAGCGUAUGUGCUGAAAGAUUCCAAGAAAAAAAGAGAUUGUGCAAGGGGAUGCUUUGAGGACCAAAUGCUGACCUCCUGCAGUGUUUCUCAUGGCCACAAAUCCACCUGAACUGGGUAUGAAAUGCAAGAAGAUUCCAACAUGUAUGUUGUGGUGUGUAACCGGUUACUGUGAUGUGCAACAUCAACAUUACAAUGGAGCAUCCUCAAAUAAGCACGGCUAAUGAGCAAAGUAGUUCCACUAAGAGAAUACCAGAUCCUGUUCUACCAAAUGAUGAUCAAACCAGUAAAGGUUAAUAAGAAAUGAUGUUAGAAGCGUUCUUGAAGUGAAUUAUGUAAGCUAAACUGCUGUGGCGGCAAUGCCUGUCUCCUCAACAGUGUGAGUCCUGUUUCAUGAGGACACUGCUCAGCAUAGUGCUGUGUUAAAAUGGUAAGUGUGAAUACAAUUCUCUGAUGAACUUAAGCUAAAAUGCUAUGUAAUAAAAGUUGAAUGGAAUAACUUUUAAAGCAAAAGCAAUGUAAUACAAAAGAAGUUGGUUCCAAAGUGUUUAAACUACGCCUGUAAGAUUAUUUUCACGGACAGGAUAGUUUUGGAAUCAAGUGCCUAGGGAAAACAGUAGUUGUAUUGUGAAAAGUUAGCAAAACUUUAUUCUCAAUUUCAAACCGGCUUGUAAAUGAGCAGUAGCAUAUAUAUUUAUUGUAACACUGCCUUCUGCUGGUCACACCUCAUUUAUGAUAUAAGUGAAUGUGCUGCAUGGUAAUGAAAUGUUGUUUUAUCCUGAAUUAUUCUCAAAUAUAGUAUAUUGAUUGAUUUGGAAAAAAAAUGUUAAAGAAAACUAGCACUUAAUAGGCAUAUGUCAGUGAUUAGCACAUUCUAGCUAUGCUUUACUUUUAUAGCUGAGAAAGUUGCAUGUAUUUGAACUUCAGCUGGAAGGAAUUAAUCCAUGUUUAUCACAAAACAGUUUCUGAACCUUUCCCUCUUCCUCUUCUCUUUAUAUCGAUGUCUACUUUUUUAAAUAGUUUUAUAGAGUUAGUAUUUCUCUUCAUUUACAUUUUAUCAACUGUAGUGCUUCUUAUUGUAAAUGCCAUUCACUGCAUAAGGCAGCUGCAGAGAAAUACGUAUAUUUAGAUGCAAGUGGAUAAAUAGGAUUGAAAUCAGAGAACUAUCUUGUUAAUUGUCGCAUGUUUAUGUACAUAUGUACAUAUUUGUAUAUCAUACACAUUUUCUUGCUUUUACAAUGUUAACUGUUUUUCUCAAAUCUAGCGUUCAAAAUACAUUACAAUUAAGGAGAACUAAAGAUGUGGACAAAAGUGUAUUUUUAAAAAUUGUAACUGCAAAGGACAUUCUACUGAAAGUAGUCUAUGGAGCAGUUUAGCUUUAUUAUAUAAAGAGAAACAUGAAAAAAUGCAUAAAACGCAUCUACAUCUUUGUGUAUGAACAUACAGAAACAGUAGGAACAAAAGCAAAGUUGCUGACUUCAUUAACGUUAUCACAAUCAAUGAAAUAGAGACGUAAUAGUAUUGUGUUUUAUUCUGAUAAAGUAGCUGAAAUUAAAAGCCAAAUCUUUGGUAUGAAUUAUCUUUAGCUGCAGAAAAUAUAAUAGUUAAACUGCACAUUUACUCAGUGAAAACAUUGGCAUGCAUGUCUGACUGUCUACACUAAAAUUAAUGACUAGAUUCUGCAGUGUGGGAAAAUUUUUAUUUUACUUUGGUUUUCCUCAAGAAGUGAAAUCCUGCUUUAGUUGCCCGAGGCAACAUUUUUAAGCACCUUUAUUACAGCACAGUUAAAAACCCAGUUAUCUGACAAAAUGCAUUCUGUUUUAUUACAAAGGAUUACUUCAAAAAGCACAAUUCUGUAUAUGUUAGGGAUAAUUUAAACACUAGGAAUCCCUAUUGUAUGCCAUAUCACAAAUAAUUAUCCAGAAAUGCAUACUAGAAUUGCAUUUUAAUGACCAAGGCGUUCUGAGUAACAUGCAGAUUAUGAGAAAUUUCUGUAUUGAAGUUUCUUCCCAGAAUUGAGGGGCCUCAUCCUGAAAUCCAGAGAGGAUUGUGCCCUGGGUUCAGUGGUAUCUGUGUCUGAGCAAGGACUAUGGAUUCCAGCUCCUGAGUCCUCAGAUGAUCACAACAGUCCCUCCUGACCUUAAAAUCUAUAAAUCUUACAGCUUUAACAGUCAAAGACAGACCAGGUUCUGUGUGUGUGUUUUAAAUUCCAAACCUAUAUGUUAGAUAUAACAGUAAUUAAAAACUCACUUGCAGAACAGUAAUAUAGUCAAUCUUGUAAAUGCAGGUUUAAUGGCAUAUGUACUAAAAUACGAAACAUCAGCAUUAUAGUAGUAUAUUAAGACCAUGCUGGGAAAGAAUAAAUACUGUUAAAAAUAGUGAGUACAAUUUUAAGCCAAAAUCCCAACAUACAAUUAGAAACAAAAAUCCCAAUAAGAUUUUUGUUCAGUGUUGGAAAGAACCAGGGUUUAAUGGCCACAAAACUGACCAAAGUGUUCUCAGGAUUGGAGCAGGUGUUGGUGGCUGUAUGGACACUAUUUAAACUGGAUCUGUUUCAGUUUUGUAGAGCUUCAUCUGCAUAUAUAAAGAGAAAUAAAUAUACUGAAUGAGGGAGGAGAGGAAGAAAAAGAAUGGAGAAAAUUGUUGGGUCACACUAUUUUGUCUGUUUUAUUUACAAGUAUGUAUAUGUGCAGUUUGUGUUUUACAUGUAUUGAUACAUACAAUACAUACAAUAGGAUAGCUGAAAAUAUGAGUGAUGUGUGUAUACUCACAGCUGCCUACAAACAAAAUUAAAACCUGAAUGUUAAAAUGCAUAUAUUUAGAGAAAUAAUAUGGACUAGUGGGCAUCAUAAUUCAUUUUCAUUUUCCAGAGUUAGAAAUAACUGCAUAAUUCAUGAAUGGCAGAACAAAGUCAAGCCAUGAGUGAGUUGCACAUGGACAUCCCUAAUGAAUGUGUAUAUUACCUUGUACCCCUUCAGGUUAUACUAAAAUCAUGGCAUUUGUUGUGUGUACCUUUUCUUAAUAAGUUCCCCCCCACACACUUUUUUAGUUGCCUGCAUAAUUUUUCAACACAAUAUCCAUAGAAGAUAUUUAUAUAUUUAUGCUGCCCCUCCCCAAAUGAAAAAUAUCCAUAAAAUCUAUCUGUACUAUAAAGAUAUUAGUGUUUAUAUGAUAUUCUGUCCUUUGAUUUUCAUGUAUGUAUUCUUGUGUAUGUGUAUGCAUAUGAACAUGACUGAAGGUGGGGCUUGGCAAACAUACUUAUUGUUUAAACUAUACAUAUUCGUGUGUAUGACCCCAUAUUUUAAUGUAUUUCAUGUCUGCUGUAUCCCUUAUUCUAGUGUCUGAUUUAUAAUAUGCUCCAUAAUUAUUCCUUUCAUGGAUUUAGACAAUAGUGAUUGUUGUUAUAUCAAGAAUAAACCAUCUACUGAACUUGUAGGGUCCAAACACGUUUUAAUUUAAGUAUCACCUUUAUAAUAGAACCUUGGUUCAAUGUCUCAGUACCAAAACAUCUACAUUAGUCAAUGGGAAUAUUUAAAUUUUUUACCUUGAGAGUAUGUAAAUAAGCCCAGUAUCUUAAGCACAGUAAAAUAUGAAUAUACAAGUAAAUCAUCAAUGUAUUUGUCUUUUCUUUUUUAGUAUGUAUGUAAAUGCAGUUUUCAUUCUGUUGUUUUUUAGCUCAUUCUGUACAUUGUAUUUUAAAACAAAGUGACUGCAAAAUAUUAAAUAAAUGUUUUUUAUGUGUCUACUUAAA